GUGGGGAAUCUUCCGCAAUGGACGAAAGUCUGAUGGAGCAACGCCGCGUGAGUGAAGAAGGGUUUCGGCUCGUAAAGCUCUGUUGUCGGGGACGAAUGUGCAGUAUUUGAAUAAAGUAUUGCAAUGACGGUACCUGACGAGGAAGCCACGGCUAACUACGUGCCAGCAGCCGCGGUAAUACGUAGGUGGCAAGCGUUGUCCGGAAUUAUUGGGCGUAAAGGGAGCGCAGGCGGGAAGGUAAGUCGGUCUUAAAAGUGCGGGGCUCAACCCCGUGAUGGGAUCGAAACUGUCUUGCUUGAGUGCAGGAGAGGAAAGUGGAAUUCCUAGUGUAGCGGUGAAAUGCGUAGAUAUUAGGAGGAACACCAGUGGCGAAGGCGACUUUCUGGACUGUAACUGACGCUGAGGCUCGAAAGCCAGGGGAGCAAACGGGAUUAGAAACCCUGGUAGUCC
rnacentral:rRNA from 1 species